AACGAACGCUGGCGGCGUGGAUUAGGCAUGCAAGUCGAACGAGAUUUUCAGUUCUUUUUCCCUUCGGGGAAAAAUGCUGGAAUGAGAGUGGCGAACGGGUGAGUAAUGCUUGGGUAAUUUACCUUUAAGUUGGGGAUAGCCCUUCGAAAGGAGGGGUAAUACCGAAUGUGAUUAUUUUACGCAUGUAGAAUUGUUUAAAGGUGGGGAUCCUUCGGGACCUGCCGUUUAAAGAUAAGCCCAUGUCCUAUCAGCUUGUUGGUGAGGUAAUGGCUCACCAAGGCAAAGACGGGUAGCUGGUCUGAGAGGAUGGUCAGCCACACUGGGACUGAGACACUGCCCAGACUCCUACGGGAGGCUGCAGUCGAGAAUCAUUCGCAAUGCGCGAAAGCGUGACGAUGCGACGCCGCGUGGAGGAUGAAGGCCUUCGGGUCGUAAACUCCUGUCAUGAGGGAACAAUGAUUAGUAGGCUAAUACCCUAUUGAAGUGAUAGUACCUCAAGAGGAAGCCACGGCUAACUCUGUGCCAGCAGCCGCGGUAAUACAGAGGUGGCAAGCGUUGUUCGGAUUUACUGGGCGUAAAGGGUGCGUAGGCGGCGUUAUAUGUCGGAUGUGAAAGCUCACUGCUCAACAGUGGAACGGCAUUCGAAACUGUAGUGCUAGAGUACAGGAGGGGAGAGCGGAAUUCUCGGUGUAGCGGUGAAAUGCGUAGAUAUCGAGAAGAAGGCCGGUGGCGAGAGCGGCUCUCUGGACUGAUACUGACGCUGAGGCACGAAAGCUGGGGGAGCGAACAGGAUUAGAUACCCUGGUAGUCCCAGCCGUAAACGUUGUGUACUUGGUAUAGGGAGAUUGUCCCUCUCUGUGCCGGAGCUAACGCAUUAAGUACACCGCCUGGGGAGUACGGCCGCAAGGCUAAAACUCAAAGGAAUUGACGGGGGCCCGCACAAGCGGUGGAGCAUGUGGCUUAAUUCGAUGCAACGCGAAGAACCUUACCUGGGCUUGACAUGCAGGUGGUACAACCUCGAAAGGGGAAGGACCCCGCAAGGGGAGCUUGCACAGGUGCUGCAUGGCUGUCGUCAGCUCGUGCCGUGAGGUGUUGGGUUAAGUCCCGCAACGAGCGCAACCCUUAUGGCUAGUUGCCACCUUCACAGAAAUGUGAGGCGCACUCUAGUCAGACUGCCCCGGUUAACGGGGAGGAAGGUGGGGAUGACGUCAAGUCAGUAUGGUCCUUAUGUCCAGGGCUGCACACGUGCUACAAUGGGCGGUACAGAGGGAAGCAAAACUGCGAAGUUGAGCAAAUCCUAAAAACCGUCCUCAGUUCGGAUUGGAGUCUGCAACUCGACUCCAUGAAGUUGGAAUCGCUAGUAAAGACGUAUCAGCUACGACGUCUUGAAUACGUUCCCGGGCCUUGUACACACCGCCCGUCACAUCACGAAAGUCGACUGCACCCGAAGUCGCUAGGCUAACCCUAACCUCGGUUAAGGAGGCAGGUGCCGAAGGUGUGGUUGAUGAUUGGGAUG
rnacentral:rRNA from 1 species